UACGUAGGGGGCUAGCGUUGUCCGGAAUCAUUGGGCGUAAAGAGCGUGUAGGCGGUCCGGUAAGUCCGCUGUGAAAGUCGGGGGCUCAACCCUCGAAUGCCGGUGGAUACUGUCGGGCUAGAGUGCGGAAGAGGCGAGUGGAAUUCCUGGUGUAGCGGUGAAAUGCGCAGAUAUCGGGAAGAACACCCGUGGCGAAGGCGGCUCUCUGGGACGGUACUGACGCUGAGGUGCGAAAGCGUGGGGAGCAAACAGG
rnacentral:rRNA from 1 species